rnacentral:rRNA from 1 species
CCUACGGGGGGCUGCAGUGAGGAAUAUUGGUCAAUGGGCUUACGCCUGAACCAGCCAAGUCGCGUGAGGGAAGACUGCCCUAUGGGUUGUAAACCUCUUUUGUCAGGGAGCAACGCCGGCUACGUGUAGCCGGACUGAGAGUACCUGCAGAAAAAGCAUCGGCUAACUCCGUGCCAGCAGCCGCGGUAAUACGGAGUAUGCGAGCGUUAUCCGGAUUUAUUGGGUUUAAAGGGUGCGUAGGCGGAAUGCCAAGUCAGCGGUAAAAUCGCGGGGCUCAACCUCGCUCCGACGUUGAAACUGGCGUUCUGGAGUGGGCGAGAAGUAUGAGGAAUGCGUGGUGUAGCGGUGAAAUGCAUAGAUAUCACGCAGAACUCCGAUUGCGAAGGCAGUAUACCGGCGCCCAACUGACGCUGAAGCACGAAAGCGUGGGUAUCGAACAGGAUUAGAUACCCUUGUAGUC